rnacentral:tRNA from 1 species
CAGAAAGUAGUUUAAUAUAAAAUAUUAAUUUUGGAGAUUAAAGAUAACUAUAAAAUAGCUCUUUCUGA